AAUCUUUGUUGUUAAGUCUUGAAGGAUAUACAUGAUGCAUAUGUGUUAAGGAACUCAUUCUAUGAUGAAGUGAUGUGUUGUUCGUUGAUGCAUGCUAUGGUGUGUUUCCUUGUAUUGAUAAACGUUUGGGAUGGGUAAAAAUUAAAGAGACGAUGAAAGGAACGUUAGGGCAUGCAUGAUAAUGGUUGUGAUGAAGGGCUGAUUUUAUUGUGUUGUUGAUAAGGGUUGUCGUGCGUACGUGAGCACAAGGAGCGAGAGUUACAUUGAAUUGUGUUUUGUGAUAUCUAAGCAAGCGAGGUUGAGCGGGAUGUGGCAAUGGAUGUUGAGUCGGCAUAGGAAAAUUGGAUGCGUUGUGUCUUCAUACAUAGGCGCCAUCCUAUGACUCUCUUUUGAUAACUCUUUUCCGCUGCUAUUUAUUGAAACUGAUGUCAUAAGAAUUUACUUUACGUCGUAUGGUUUUGCCUGUGUAAAACACUUAGAUAUUUUGAAUUCCGCUGCUUACUUUAAAAACUAAAACGUUUUGUGGUCUAAACAUUUGUUCUUGUGGAAAUUAAUUGACUUUUGCCUUAAA